AUAUCAUGUUUGUACAAAUAAAGCUUGCCUGAAGAUCAGGGAGCAGAGCUAACCACUAGCUAACCAUAGAGGUCUGGUGGUCUGUACAGACAAAUAGAAAGUGGUAUGGCUGGGUGGAGAGAGAAAGUGAUAAGGCAGCAGGAAACAGGAACUCAGUCUCUUUUCGACUGGGAAGUUGAGAAAUAAGAUAGUCAUGCUUUUACUCCUUUGUCCCUCUGAUUUCUCAAUGUUUUCCCCAAUAUCUGACUCCGGGCUUUUAUUAUUAAGACCUAUUAGAACUUGUGCUACAGAGAAGGAGGAAGCGGGGAGGAGGAAGAAGAAAGAAGGAGGAAGAAUGUUCAACAUCCUUUGUCAUCAGGAAAAUAAAAAUAAAAACUACUUAGGAUUUUAUCUUACACCAGUGAGGACAGUAAAGCAAAUGACAGUUCAUGCUGGUGUGGAUGUGGGGAAAUGGGAACUCACCCAUCGCUGGUGGGAGUGCAAACUUCUACAGUUACAAUGGAAAUCAGAAUGGCAGUUCCUCAGGAAGCUUGGAAUUGGCCUACCUCAAGAUCCAGCUAUAUCACUCUUAGGCAUAUUCAAAGCACUCUCUAUACCCUGCGACAGAGACACUUGUUCAUCUAUGUUCAUUGCUUGUAUGUUAAUAAUAGCCAGAAGUUGUAAACACCCUAGAUGUCUAUCACCUAAGGAAUGGAUAAUGAAAAAGUGGUAUAUUUACCCAAUGGAAUAUAAUAUAUAAUGAAAUUAUGAAAUUUGCAGGUAAGUGGAUGGAGAUAGAAGAAAAAAUAAUCCAGAGUGAGGUAACCCAGACCCAAAAAGACAAAUAUUAUAUGUUUCUCUUAUAUGUGAAUAUUAGCUUGUAAGUUUUUAAUAUGCAUGCUUCAAUAUGUAUACCCAUAUAGAGUUUAGGUAUCAAGUAAGGGACUGGGGAGGGGAGGGUAUUCCAAGUAAGGGGAAGUUAAUAUAUAGUUAUGAAUAAAUGAUGUGGGGAAGAGACUGGAGCAGGAGGAUUAAAUAGGGAGGGAGUGGAAAAGAGGGGUGAGGGAGAGACAACUAACACUAAGGACUAUUUGAAGGGCUAUAUGGAAACUUAUUAUCAUAGACGCUUCUAAAAAUAAAUACAUAUACAAAAGAAAUCUAAAUGGAGUCACCAAAUAAUGGGGAGACAAUGUCCCAACUAGACAUCUCUCACCACCCAGUGAAACCUCCAGUGCCAGAAUGGGUCACAUCUCAUUGAGUUGUUGGCCAAAGAGGACCAUAGAAACCCCAAAACAACCAGGCUAUUGCCAAAGCUACUGGUUGCUCUCCACAACCUGAUGGUAGACCCCAUUGCUGAAGACAGCACUUAUAUAGGUCAUUAAACACAGAGAAGUCAACUGGUCUCUAACUAGAGGUCUCACCCCUAGUGACUAGUGUUUGUGGUAUUGGAAGGUACUCUGCAUGCUACCAGAGGAGAAAGGUACACACUAAUCCAUCUACAAACCCUUCAAUUUACAACCGUUACCCACCUGAAAGGUAUGUUGUACAAUAAUGGCACAAACGUUGUGGGAAUAACCAGCCACUAUCUACUUGGGAUCAGAGUUAAGGAUCUCUCCCUGAAAUGGAAUCCACACCUGAUAUUGCCCAGGCAACCAAGAACCUGAGACCAGGUCAGCACCUUGCUCUACCAUCAUCAGAGAAGCUUCCUCUUGCAGUAGAUGGGAACUAACACUGAGACCCACACCUGGACCAUGUGCAGAGGGUGAGAGAUUUGGAAACACUCAGUAAUAAGUAGGAUGCCUUCAUCAAAGUCCCCCAACCAGGGAUCAGGGAGCUGUGCAGAAGGCGGAGAGAUUGUAAGAGUCAGAGGAGGUGUCUGACGAAUGUCUUCAAGACACACGCGAGCUCCCAGAAACUGGCAGCAUGCACAGGGUACCAGCACUGAGAAGAGGAAGUGGAAACAGGCUUCCAUCCCGAACAAAGAUGCUAUCUGCAAUUGACAACCACUCGCAAAGGAAACAUUGUGUUUUUUUCCAGUGGAGUUUCAGUCCUGAGUUCAAUUCCCAGCAACCACUUGGUGACUCACAACCAUCUGCA